rnacentral:rRNA from 1 species
UUAUUUAUUUUAUUAUAAUUAUUUUUUGUUAUUUUAUUUUUUAAUAAAAAAAUUUUUAUUUAUUUUUUGUCUUAGUAUAUUUUAUAGAAUUGAUUUUUUUAAUUAUAGUUGAUUAGUAAUGUAAUUGGAUUAUUAAAUAAUUAUUUAAUUAUAAAAAAGUAGAUUUAAUUUAUUGUACCUUUUGUAUCAGGGUUUAUUAAAUUUUUAGUAUUUAUUUACUAAUCUCGAUUUAGGUUGAUUUACAAUUAAUUUAUAUUUAAUGUAUCACAAUUAUUUUUGAGUUAAUUGUAGAAAUGAAAUGUUAUUCGUUUCCUAAUAUAUCUAGUUUCUUAAGAAAAAAUUUAAUUUUUUAGCAUUAAUUGUUUUUAUUUACUUUUAUAAAUAAAAAUAUUAAUUUAUUUAUUCUUUAGGGGAUAAGCUCUAAAGCUUCCCUAUAAAUUUUAUUAAUUGAAAUAAAAUAGUAAGCUUUAAAUCAGCUAUCUUUUUGAUUACGUUUUAGUUCAUUAUUUUAUAUUUUGAUUUUAUAAUUAUUUUAGGUUUUAUAUUAAAAUUAUUAAUUUAAUUUAAAAAUUAUUGUAAUAAUGAUAAAAUUAGUAUAUUAAUUUGUUUAUAAUAUUUUUUAUUGUUAAUUUAUUAUAAGGAAUUAGGCAAAAUUAAUUUCCCCCUGUUUAUCAAAAACAUGCCCUCUUGAAAAUAUUUAGAGGCCUGACCUGCUCACUGAUAAAAUUUUAAAGACCCGCGGUAUUUUAACCGUGCAAAGGUAGCAUAAUCAUUAGUUUCUUAAUUAGAGGCUGGUAUGAAUGGUUUGACAAAAAAUUAUCUGUCUCUUAUUAAAUAAUAAAAUUUAACUUUUGAGUUAAAAGACUUAAAUUUUUCUUAAAGACGAAAAGACCCUAUAGAGCUUAACAUUUUAUUUUUAUAUAAUUUUUAGUUUAUUUUUUUAUAUUUAAAGAUAAUGUUUUGUUGGGGUGACAUAAAGAAUGAAUAAACUCUUUAUUAUAAAAUCAUUAAUUUAUGUUUAUUGUGAUCCAUAAUUUAUGAUCAUAAGAUUAAGUUACCUUAGGGAUAACAGCGUAAUUAUUUUUGAGAGCUCAUAUCGACAAAAUAGAUUGCGACCUCGAUGUUGGAUUAAGAAUAGUUUUGGGUGCAGGAGCCCAAUAAUUAGGUCUGUUCGACCUUUAAAUUCUUACAUGAUCUGAGUUCAGACCGGCGUAAGCCAGGUCGGUUUCUAUCUUAAGUUAUUUUUUUUACAUUAGUACGAAAGGACCAUGUAAUUAAAUUAUAUUUUGAUUUAUUGAUUAAAUUUAAUAUU